rnacentral:rRNA from 1 species
AUUGAACGCUGGCGGCAGGCCUAACACAUGCAAGUCGAGCGGAUGAAGGGAGCUUGCUCCUGGAUUCAGCGGCGGACGGGUGAGUAAUGCCUAGGAAUCUGCCUGGUAGUGGGGGAUAACGUCCGGAAACGGGCGCUAAUGCCGCAUACGUCCUGAGGGAGAAAGUGGGGGAUCUUCGGACCUCACGCUAUCAGAUGAGCCUAGGUCGGAUUAGCUAGUUGGUGGGGUAAAGGCCUACCAAGGCGACGAUCCGUAACUGGUCUGAGAGGAUGAUCAGUCACACUGGAACUGAGACACGGUCCAGACUCCUACGGGAGGCUGCAGUGGGGAAUAUUGGACAAUGGGCGAAAGCCUGAUCCAGCCAUGCCGCGUGUGUGAAGAAGGUCUUCGGAUUGUAAAGCACUUUAAGUUGGGAGGAAGGGCAGUAAGUUAAUACCUUGCUGUUUUGACGUUACCAACAGAAUAAGCACCGGCUAACUUCGUG